UACGAAGGGGGCUAGCGUUGCUCGGAAUCACUGGGCGUAAAGGGUGCGUAGGCGGGUCUUUAAGUCAGGGGUGAAAUCCUGGAGCUCAACUCCAGAACUGCCUUUGAUACUGAGGAUCUUGAGUUCGGGGAGAGGUGAGUGGAACUGCGAGUGUAGAGGUGAAAUUCGUAGAUAUUCGCAAGAACACCAGUGGCGAAGGCGGCUCACUGGCCCGAUACUGACGCUGAGGCACGAAAAGCGUGGGGGAGCAAACAGGG
rnacentral:rRNA from 1 species